GAUGAACGCUAGCGGGAGGCCUAAUACAUGCAAGUCGAACGGUAACAGGAUAGCAAUAUCGCUGACGAGUGGCGCACGGGUGCGUAACGCGUACACAAUCUGCCUUAUACUGGAGCAUACCCCCAAGAAAUUGGGACUAAUUCUCCAUAAUAUAUUUGGAUGGCAUCAUUUGCAUAUUAAAACUCCGGUGGUAUAAGAUGAGUGUGCGUCCGAAUAGGUAGUUGGUGAGGUAACGGCUCACCAAGCCGACGAUCGGUAGCUGGUCUGAGAGGAAGAUCAGCCACACGGGCACUGAGACACGGGCCCGACGCCUACGGGAGGCAGCAGUAGGGAAUAUUGGAAAAUGGGCGCAAGCCUGAUCCAGCCAUCCCGCGUGAAGGAUUAAGGCCCUAUGGGUUGUAAACUUCUUUUCUCUGGGAAUAAAAAGCGGGGUUCACCCUGCCUUGAAGGUAUCAGAGGAAUAAGCACCGGCUAACUCCGUGCCAGCCGCCGCCGUAAGAC
rnacentral:rRNA from 1 species